rnacentral:rRNA from 1 species
CCUACGGGGGGCAGCAGUAGGGAAUCUUCCACAAUGGGCGAAAGCCUGAUGGAGCAACGCCGCGUGGGUGAAGAAGGUCUUCGGAUCGUAAAACCCUGUUGUUAGAGAAGAAAGUGCGUGAGAGUAACUGUUCACGUUUCGACGGUAUCUAACCAGAACGCCACGGCUAACUACGUGCCAGCAGCCGCGGUAAUACGUAGGUGGCAAGCGUUAUCCGGAGUUAUUGGGCGUAAAGGGAACGCAGGCGGUCUUUUAAGUCUGAUGUGAAAGCCGUCGGCUUAACCGGAGUAGUGCAUUGGAAACUGGGUGACUUGAGUGCAGAAGAGGAGAGUGGAACUCCAUGUGUAGCGGUGAAAUGCGUAGAUAUAUGGAAGAACACCAGUGGCGAAAGCGGCUUUCUGGUCUGUAACUGACGCUGAGGUUCGAAAGCGUGGGUAGCAAACAGGAUUAGAUACCCUUGUAGUC